rnacentral:rRNA from 1 species
AGUGAACGCUGGCGGUAGGCCUAACACAUGCAAGUCGAACGGCAGCACAGUAAGAGCUUGCUCUUACGGGUGGCGAGUGGCGGACGGGUGAGGAAUACAUCGGAAUCUACUUUUUCGUGGGGGAUAACGUAGGGAAACUUACGCUAAUACCGCAUCCGACCUACGGGUGAAAGCAGGGGAUCUUCGGACCUUGCGCGAUUGAAUGAGCCGAUUUCGGAUUAGCUAGUUGGCGGGGCAAAGGCCCACCAAGGCGACGAUCCGUAGCUGGUCUGAGAGGAUGAGCAGCCACACUGGAACUUAGACACGGUCCAGACGCCUACGAGAGGCAGCAGUAGGGAAUAUUGGACAAUGGGCGCAAGCCUGAUCCAGCCAUACCGCGUGGGUGAAGAAGGCCUUCUGGUUGUAAAGCCCGUUUGUUGGGAAAGAAAAGCAGCAGGUUAAUACCCCGCUGUUCUGACGGUACCCAAAGAAUAAGCACCGGCUAACUUCGUG